UCUUUAUAUCAAGCUUCAAUGGCUAAGGAGUUCAUAAACUUGAAUUCUUGGAUUGAGGUAGCCCCAGCUCCUAUUAUGUACCCUCGGAAGAAGCCUUCCAAUUCACCAAGGCUUGAGCCUAUUGCUGAAGAGGGUGCUGAGGAAUACGAUGAUGAUUCAUAAUCUGGGUUGUUUUCUUUCCAUCUUCUUCUGUCUUGGAUUCUUGAAGAGCUGCUUGUUUUAGAAUUUUGCUACCGGAGUUCAGAUUUAUAUAAAAUGUUAUGUUGAGCUGAAUUGUUUAAAAAUCGAAGAAGUAGAGGAACCAUUUUAAUGUUUUCAGACUAUAGGUGGCUCUGAUCCGGAGCCCUUAGCUGUUGUAAUAGGGUCAUUUCAUGAACAUAUUACUGUAAAGAACAAUUUGCAUCAGAACAAAGCUUUCAAUUUACAAAUUAGUUUCUUUUGAUGUAAAUUUUAACAAAGCUUUCAAUUUGCAAAUUAGUUUCUUUUGAUGUAAAUUUUAUCUCCCUCUACGGAAAAUGGAGUUCUAAUUUGUUUUA